UAGAAUAUGUUUCAACAUCAAAAAUGGAAGUGCAUGUUGACCCCAACAAGGACGGAAGUGCAUGUUGACACCCACAAACGAACGAACAUUGUAAACAAUUUACAGCUGAGGAAUCUAUUGGUCGUAUAUCUUUAACAACAUCACUGGUACCCAAAUUAAAUAUGUUUAUUAGGAUAAAUAUAGUGCUAUUAAUGAUUUUGGUGACAGUUUAUGCUCCUCCUCCAGGCCAAGGCAAAGUAUACGAACACCAAGAUAUAAAUUUAGAUACUUUACCUAUGGCUCUAGAUUGGUUUAUUGAAAUGUACUGUGUUUGGAUAAAAUCCCAGCCAAACAUGACCUUACCAGAUGUUUGUAUCACCCUUG